rnacentral:misc_RNA from 1 species
UUCCGUAGGUGAACCUGCGGAAGGAUCAUUAAAAAAUAUCACAUUUGUUUGUGAUUUAAUAAUCAUCCUACCUUUGUGAUUUGUUUUGUUUGAAAUUUAUGUUGUCUAUCCUGAAAUUGGAAGAAGUCGUUAAGAUUUUUUUCAUUCAGGAAUAGCUUCAUAGACAUUUUUUAAAUUAAACUUUUUGUAUUCAUUGUCUAAAUUUAUUUUUAAUAAUUUAAAAACAACUUUUGACAAUGGAUCUCUUGUUCUCGCAACGAUGAAGAACGCAGCAAAAUGCGAUAAGUAAUGUGAAUUGCAGAAUACGUGAAUCAUCAAAUUUUCGAACGCAUAUUGCACUUUUUAGUUUACUAAAAAAGUAUGUCUGUUUGAGUAUCAGUAAAUAUUCUCAUAAAAACAUUUUUGUUUUAUGGUUAUGAGUGUUUACAACGAUAACAAGUUGUUUCACUUAAAUUGAUUUUUUAAAAGCCAAUUUGGUUUUAUUAUUAAAAUUGGAUAAAUUUCCCGUAAAAAGGAAUAAACUUUCAGUUUUAAAAUAAAUCCUAAUUGACCUUGAAAAAAGGAAAUUUAAUUUAUAAAAUAACUUGAUCUCAAAUCAGAUAAGAGUACCCGCUGAACUUAAGCAUAUCAAUAAGCGGAGGAAAAGAAACUAACAAGGAUUCCUUAGUAACGGCGAGUGAGCGGGAAGGCUCAAUUUGAAAUCUUCAAGUUCUACCUGACGAAUUGUAGUUUAAAGAAGUGUUUUCUGUUAGUGGAGUGGCAAAGUUCUUUGGAAUAGGACAUCAUAGAGGGUGAGAAUCCGUAUUGGUCAUUCCUUCUAGCUUUGUGAUACACUUUCAAAGAGUCGGAUUGUUUGGGAAUGCAGUCCAAAAUGGGUGGUAAAUUCAUCUAAAGCUAAAUAUUGGCGAGAGACGAUAGCGAACAAGUACCGUGAGGAAGAUGAAAGAACUUUGAAAGAGAGUUAAACAGUACGUGAAUUGUCAAAAGGGAAGCGUUUGACACCAGUGUUGUUUUCCGAAAUCAAUUAUAGAUGUUUUGUUUUGAGGAGUGAUGACUUCAUCGGCUUCCUUCUCUCUUUACGAACUUUGUAAUGCACUUUUCGGUUAACAAGUCAACAUCAAUUUCUUUGUUGUAAAGAGUAUUCGGAAGGUGUUUUCUUUUCGGAGAAAGUGUUUAUAGCCUAUACUUCUACAAUCGAGAGAUUGAGGUCUGCAGCGUAGAUCUUCGGGUUAGAUACACUUGUGCUAAGUUAUAGCUUUCAUAGACAACUUGUUGACUAUGUUAGUCUUGUAGCUUACUCGCUUGUGCUAUUUUACCUACGCUUAGGA